rnacentral:rRNA from 1 species
UACGGGGGGGGCAAGCGUUGUUCGGAAUUACUGGGCGUAAAGGGCGCGUAGGCGGCCUGCUAAGUCGGACGUGAAAUCCCUCGGCUCAACCGGGGAACUGCGUCCGAUACUGGCGAGGCUUGAAUCCGGGAGAGGGAUGUGGAAUUCCAGGUGUAGCGGUGAAAUGCGUAGAUAUCUGGAGGGACACCGGUGGCGAAGGCGGCAUCCUGGACCGGCAUUGACGCUGAGGCGCGAAAGCCAGGGGAGCGAACGGG